GAUCCCCGAGCGCUGGCGGGGCCGGGGCGCUGGCAGUCGGGGCCAUGCGGCGGCGGCGCUGGGCGCUGCAGCGGCGCUGGCUGCUGGCACUGGCGCUGUACACGUUGCUGCUGCUGCUGCCCUACGCGCUGCACAAGCCGCCGCCGCCGCCGUCGGGGGGAGGCUGCCCCAGCCUGCAGGCGGCGCUGGGCGCUUGGGGCGCGGACGGGGAGCCGGAGCCGGAGCCGGGCAGCAACAGCAGCGGCAGCAGCUUGGCGGGGGGCAAGCGGCACAUCUACGUGCACGCCACGUGGCGCACGGGCUCGUCCUUCGUGGGGGAGCUGUUCAACCAGCACCCCGACGUCUUCUACCUGUACGAGCCGGCGUGGCACGUGUGGCAGGCGCUAUACCCGGGCGACGCCCGCAGCCUGCAGGGCGCCCUGCGGGACCUGCUGCGCUCGCUCUUCCGCUGCGACUUCUCGGCGCUGCGCCCCUACGCCCGCGAGCCGCCCGGCGCGGCCGGCGCCAACCUGAGCACGGCGGCGCUGUUCGGGUGGCGCACCAACAAGGUGCUGUGCUCGGCGCCGCUCUGCCCGGCCGCCGCCCGGCCACGCCACCACGUGGGGCUGGUGGACGGCGCGGCCUGCGAGCGGAGCUGCCCGCCGCGGGCGCUGCGGGACCUGGAGGCCGAGUGCCGCAAGUACCCGGUGGUGGCCAUCAAGGACGUGCGGCUGCUGGAGCUGGGCGCCCUGCUGCCCCUGCUGCGUGAGCCGGGCCUGGACGUGAGGGUCAUCCAGCUCUUCCGCGACCCCCGCGCCGUGCACAACUCGCGCCUGCGGGCCCAGGCCGCGCUGCUGCGGGAGAGCGUACAGGUGCUGCGCAGCCAGUCCCUGCACCGCCAGCUGCCGCCCCCCGGGGUGCUGGGGCGGCGCCAGCGCCCACCUGCCGAGUUCUGGGUGAGCGGGGCGCUGGAGGUCAUCUGCCAGGCCUGGCUGGGCGAUGUGGCGCUGGCCCGCCGUGGCCCGCUGGCCUUGCGGCACCGCUACAUGCAGCUCCGCUACGAGGACCUGGUGCGGGAGCCCCGGGCCCAGCUGCGCCGCCUGCUUGCCUUCGCCGGCCUGGCUGCCCCGCCUGCCCUGCUGCGCUUCGCCCAGCGCAUGACCCAUGGCACGGCCUACUCCUCCGACCGCCCCUUCCUGCUCUCCGCCCGUGACGCCCGCCGGGCCGUGACCGCCUGGAGGGAGCGCCUCAGCCGGGACCAGGUGCGCCAUAUCGAGGAUGCCUGCGGCGACGCCAUGCAUUUCCUCUCCUACCCGCUUAGCGCUGGCCCCACCUAGCCACGCUCUGGGUGAGCAGGGUGCUGAAGGUCAUCCAGCUGGAUCGGAGCCUGGCUGGAUUGGGGCUAGGCUAUGCCCCUUUCCCCUGCAAGACUGGAUGGGACUGGGCUGCACCCCUUCCCAGGAUGAGGCACAGCCAGGGUAAGGCUGGGUUAAGUUCCCUUCCCCUUCAUGGCUGGAUCUUGUCCAGGCCUCUCCCCUCUGCUCUCUUCCGCCCAGCCAGAUGGGGCCCUGCUGCUCCCCCUCCCAGUGCCAGAUAAGGACCAUUGCCUGGAUCCAGUCCAUGGACGACCUGGGCGCCACCUAUCCAGCCUACUGGACAAAAAGCUUAACGUACAGAACCUGGAUUAUUGUGCAGCCAGGGACUUCAAAGAAAAGUUUUCACCAAUGAAACUGUACAUUCCAGAGUCUUACAGAACUUCAGCUGAGGCUAAAAACUUUGCAGUUCUCAGUUCUGCAGAGAAUGAACUUGAAUCAGUCAAAACAAUAGGAAAAUGGACAUUUCCUGUAAAGACGUGUUACAGUGCAAUAUGGACAACUGCAGCCCUCCAGUCUGGAGUGCCACCUUUUUUAUUUGAACCUGCCAGUAUGGUGUCAGUGCUUGGUGCUGCUUCUGGCCAUAAGGAGACUGAAAUGUAUUGACUAUACUAGGAUAAAGCUUCUACUGUAUAGCAAAAACUCAAUUCUUUGCAAGAAUGAUAUUGUACACUUAGGAUUUCUAGCACCAUUUUAAUUUCUAGGUGAUUUUUUUUUAAGCUAAUUUCCUCAAUUUCUGAGAAUUUUUAUCUUUUUUCUUUCACCCUGGGGGUUGGAAGAGCACAGAUUACAGUAAGUGGCAAGGGAUGCUUCUCCCUUGAAAAAAUGAGAAAAAUGCUAUUUCUAUUGUUGCUCCACUUUGCACGGAUCAGAACAAGUUAACAGAAAAUAGGUGACACCGCAUUGCACUUUUUUUUAGCGGGGAGAAAAGGAAGCUUAGGACAUAUCUUCAGUUGAUGGAAGUUGAUAGCUCCAUUGAAACCAAGGGUGCUGUAAACCUACGCUGCCUGCCUCAACUCGCACCUUAAAUUAGGGGUGUCAAAGUCACCUCCUGCCCUGGGCCAUACCUGGCCAAGGAGCUGGGGCUGCAAUGGGUAAAGUGGCUAGAGGAUGACCAGGGCUGUAUCAGCUGUUGCCUGUCUUCCAACUGUCAUUGCCAUGUCCAUUGGGGCCUAAGGGCCCUGGAUUGUAUGGCAGGCCACUCCCCCUGGCCAUACCCACCAAUUUCUGGUGGCCUGCCAGUAGCCCACUGGGCCAAAUACAGCAGCUCUGGGGGGUGGAUCUGGCCUGUGGACUGUACGUUUCACACCCCUGCCUUAAAUGAUCCUUUCAUGCUGAGAUUUGGUACUUGCAGUGCUCAUUCUUAAUAUGUUUCUGUUAUUGUUUUAAAAGAACGUUAAAACUACUGGGAAUCUAGUGUUGUUCUACCUGUUAUUAAGCUGUUCCAAUGUUAUGGCACUCUUAAAUGCUGUCAGAAGGAACAACAUUUCAUACCUGACGGUGAACAAUGUCCUUUGCCUCCAAACUAAAAUACAUAAAAAUGAAAAUGUAAUUUAAGGGUUUUUUUGGUGUGGCACUAUAUGAGCUACAUUUUCCCACCUCUAGUUUAACAAUUUCAGAGAAUCAACCCAUUUGAAAAAUUACAGAAUCAUGGAGAAGUAGGGCCAGAAGGGACCUCAUCUAGUUCAACACCCUGCUUGAGGCAGAAAACAUCUAAAUCUAGUAGAUGGCAUAAACUUCAAAACUUCAAAAAAGGUAAAGGUUUUGCUAUCCUGUUCCAAAACAUCUUGUGGAAGGACAAACUAAAUGUAUAUAAUUUAAAUGCAAACAUACACAAAAUGAUUUUUCCCCCAAUUAACUUCUGUAGGAAACUUACAUGUUAACAGUUGGUACAUGUAUAACUUUCAAUUGUUUGUUUUCAGCUAAACGGUAGCAUUUGCAAAGGGAGCAUAAUUCUGCUUUCUACUCUGUGUACCCCAGAUCAUGUGGAGUUGGAUUAUUCUGUAUAAGUACUAUGGAGACAGUCUCCAGAAUUGAUGGGAAAUCUUCGUAUUCUUUCAAAAUAGGGUAACCUAAAGCAGUGUAUAAAAAAAGUACUUUUAUAAAUUCCUGUUGGGGGCCAUUGUU